UGGGGAAUAUUGGACAAUGGGCGCAAGCCUGAUCCAGCCAUGCCGCGUGAGUGAUGAAGGCCCUAGGGUUGUAAAGCUCUUUUGUGCGGGAAGAUAAUGACUGUACCGCAAGAAUAAGCCCCGGCUAACUUCGUGCCAGCAGCCGCGGUAAUACGAAGGGGGCUAGCGUUGCUCGGAAUCACUGGGCGUAAAGGGUGCGUAGGCGGGUCUUUAAGUCAGGGGUGAAAUCCUGGAGCUCAACUCCAGAACUGCCUUUGAUACUGAGGAUCUUGAGUUCGGGAGAGGUGAGUGGAACUGCGAGUGUAGAGGUGAAAUUCGUAGAUAUUCGCAAGAACACCAGUGGCGAAGGCGGCUCACUGACCCGAUACUGACGCUGAGGCACGAAAGCGUGGGGAGCAAACA
rnacentral:rRNA from 1 species